GACAGAGGGUGCAAACGUUGCUCGGAAUUACUGGGCGUAAAGGGCUCGUAGGCGGCCAACUAAGUCCGACGUGAAAUCCCCAGGCUCAACCUGGGAACUGCGUCGGAUACUGGAUGGCUUGAAUUCGGGAGAGGGAUGCAGAAUUCCAGGUGUAGCGGUGAAAUGCGUAGAUAUCUGGAGGAAUACCGGUGGCGAAGGCGGCAUCCUGGACCGACAUUGACGCUGAGGAGCGAAAGCUAGGGGAGCAAACGGG
rnacentral:rRNA from 1 species